rnacentral:rRNA from 1 species
UACAGAGGGUGCGAGCGUUAAUCGGAAUUACUGGGCGUAAAGCGCGCGUAGGCGGCUUUGCAAGUCGGGUGUGAAAUCCCCAGGCUUAACCUGGGAACUGCAUUCGAGACUGCAUUGCUAGAGUAUGGGAGAGGGAAGUGGAAUUUCCGGUGUAGCGGUGAAGUGCGUAGAUAUCUGGAGGAACACCGGUGGCGAAGGCGGCAUCCUGGACCGGUAUUGACGCUGAGGCGCGAAAGCCAGGGGAGCAAACGGG